rnacentral:rRNA from 1 species
GAUGAACGCUGGCGGCGUGCCUAAUACAUGCAAGUCGAGCGAAUGGAUUAAGAGCUUGCUCUUAUGAAGUUAGCGGCGGACGGGUGAGUAACACGUGGGUAACCUGCCCAUAAGACUGGGAUAACUCCGGGAAACCGGGGCUAAUACCGGAUAACAUUUUGAACCGCAUGGUUCGAAAUUGAAAGGCGGCUUCGGCUGUCACUUAUGGAUGGACCCGCGUCGCAUUAGCUAGUUGGUGAGGUAACGGCUCACCAAGGCAACGAUGCGUAGCCGACCUGAGAGGAUGAUCGGCCAAACUGGGACUGAGACACGGCCCAGCAUCCUACGGGAGGCAGCAGUAGGGAAUCUUCCGCAAUGGACGAAAGUCUGACGGAGCAACGCCGCGUGAGUGAUGAAGGCUUUCGGGUCGUAAAACUCUGUUGUUAGGGAAGAACAAGUGCUAGUUGAAUAAGCUGGCACCUUGACGGUACCUAACCAGAAAGCCACGGCUAACUACGUGCCAGCCGCCGCCGUAA